GGCUGAGUAGUUGUUGGUGACGAACUUUGCGCCAUUGAACUCGAAAGCAGUUGUCGACAUGAUUUCUGAAAAAAAAUCAAGAAAAUCGUGAAGUGUAGAUGAGAUGUUUGAUGAAAUGCGCACAAGAGAUUUUGAAAAUAUUAUCAGAGAGAGAGAGAGAGAUAUCGUGUGAAGUGAGAAGAAAAUACUCGAUUUCUGAGAAUAUAUAUGUAUGUACGCAUGCGG
rnacentral:lncRNA from 1 species